GAGUUUUGGAAAGAAAGAAGUACCCACUUCCUUCGUGCACAAAGUUUUCGCGCACAGUAUCCACUUCCUUUAACCUAACAUAGUCUUCUUCUCCCUCCGAUCGAUUCAGUCCUCUUCUUCUACCUCAGUCCUCUUCUUCCUCUGAUUUAUUCACUUUUUGCCUCCGAUUUCCACCGAAUAGAAAGAACGAAGAAAACUCAAUCGCCGUCGAACUCAACCUUCGCCAGCUCACCACCGUCAUCUUUCUGUUCAUUGGUAUCUGGUCAUUGGAAACAAAUGGGAUUUCUAUCACAAUUUUCUCCAAGCUGAUUACACUGAAGGAUUGGUGAAAGAAAGAAGAUUUGUAAAUCUGUUGGAAAGCAAGGUAA